GUGGGGAAUCUUAGACAAUGGGGGAAACCCUGAUCUAGCCAUGCCGCGUGAGCGAUGAAGGCCUUAGGGUUGUAAAGCUCUUUCAGCUGGGAAGAUAAUGACGGUACCAGCAGAAGAAGCCCCGGCUAACUCCGUGCCAGCAGCCGCGGUAAUACGGAGGGGGCUAGCGUUGUUCGGAAUUACUGGGCGUAAAGCGCGCGUAGGCGGACCAGAAAGUUGGAGGUGAAAUCCCAGGGCUCAACCUUGGAACUGCCUUCAAAACUCCUGGUCUGGAGUUCGAGAGAGGUGAGUGGAAUUCCGAGUGUAGAGGUGAAAUUCGUAGAUAUUCGGAAGAACACCAGUGGCGAAGGCGACACACUGGCUCAUUACUGACGCUGAGGCGCGAAAGCGUGGGGAGCAAACAGGAUUAGAAACCCCUGUAGUCC
rnacentral:rRNA from 1 species